AACAAACGCUGGCGGCGUGCCUAAUACAUGCAAGUCGGACGGGGAAAGCUUUCGGGCGAGUACUAGUGGCGCACGGGUGAGUAACACGUGGGUAAUCUUCCUAGGAGCGUGGGAUAACUAGUCGAAAGAUUAGCUAAUACCACAUAAGACCACAGAAUCUGCGCAUUCAGAGGUCAAAGCUUUUCACUCUGAGAUGAGCCCGCGCAAGAUUAGCUAGUUGGUGAGGUAAUGGCUCACCAAGGCGACGAUCUUUAGCUGGACUGAGAGGAGGAUCAGCCACACUGGAACUGAGACACGGUCCAGACUCCUACGGGAGGCAGCAGGAGGGAAUAUUGCACAAUGGAGGAAACUCUGAUGCAGCGACGCCGCGUGAGUGAUGAAGGACUUCGGUUCGUAAAGCUCUGUCGUAUGGGAAUAAGAAAGUGAAUGUACCAUGCAAGAAAGGAUCGGCUAACUUCGUGCCAGCCGCCGCGGUAA
rnacentral:rRNA from 1 species